rnacentral:rRNA from 1 species
GAUGAACGCUAGCGGCAGGCCUAAUACAUGCAAGUCGAGGGGCAGCAGGAAUAGCAAUAUUUGCUGGCGACCGGCGCACGGGUGCGUAACACGUAUACAAUCUGCCUUUAACAGGGGGAUAGCCCGGAGAAAUCCGGAUUAAUACCCCAUAAUAGAUCGAAUGGCAUCAUUUGAUUUUGAAAGCUCCGGCGGUUAAAGAUGAGUAUGCGUCUGAUUAGCUAGUUGGUGAGGUAACGGCUCACCAAGGCGACGAUCAGUAGGGGAUCUGAGAGGAUUAACCCCCACACGGAUACUGAGACACGGAUCCGACUCCUACGGGAGGCAGCAGUAAGGAAUAUUGGACAAUGCCCGCAAGGGUGAUCCAGCCAUGCCGCGUGCAGGAAGACGGCCCUAUGGGUUGUAAACUGCUUUUGUCAGGGAAGAAAUCUUCUGGGCUAAUACCCCGGGAGGAUGACGGUACCUGAAGAAUAAGCACCGGCUAACUACGUGCC